rnacentral:lncRNA from 1 species
ACAGAAACUCACCUCCCUAACUGCUGCGUGCUGCUUUCUCUUUUCGAGAGUUGGACUACACCCAAAGCCACUGUCAAAUGUCAUGGGGAUGAGACUUCACGAGGAGAUAUUGGAGACUUUAAUCAAGAGGAUUCUUGAAACAUGACCACCUGACAGUUGGAAGACAGUUUUCCACCCCAUAAAGGGUGAUAUCUAAAAUCUUCACCAGCCAUGCUGUACAAGAAACGACCCAUCUGAACGGAUAUUCCACUGAUCAUAAGGAACACCAUACUGGGCCUCACCCAGGCUAGGGGUCAAAUCAGAGCUACAGCUGCCAGCCACAGCCACAGCAAUUUGGGAUCCAAGCUGCCUCUGUGACCUACACCACAGCUCAUGGAAGCACUGAAUCCCUGACCUGCUUAGCAAGGCCAGGGGUCAAACCUGUAUCCUCAUAGAUACCUCAUCAGGUUUUUUUCUACUGUCCCACAAUGGGAACUCCAGUGUUUUUUAAGCUAAAGGAUUCUUGGAUAUUAACUAAACGAUUUCAGCAAUUUAGGAAGUGUUUGUUCAAGAAAGAUGGCUGAAUCAUUGUAAGAACAGUGAGUUUUGUGUCAUUUUAACUUACCCUAUUCUCAUCCCCACUUCCCAGCUUAAUGGUAGCCUUGAAAUGUAAUAGCCCAUCAUCAUAGUGAAAAUCAGGGGUCUGUAAGCCAUUGGAAGCAGAAGAAUGUAGAGCUCCUUCAAAAUUCCGUUCCCAGAGAAUUGGCAUUAUUUGACUUGUUUAGUGGUUCUCAAGAACACUUUUCAUGAAAGGUUAUAUGUAUUUGACCUUAUUCAGAGAUCCUCCAGUGUGAAAUGUUUUUCUUCUGGGACGUUUGUAGAAACCAAGUAUAGGAAAUUGUUGACAUUGUGGUUACCUGAAUCAUGGAUAACAGCUGGAGCAAACAAUAGGCUAAUCAAAAAGCUUAAAAAAGGAAAAUGAAAUCUCCAUAGGGACUUUGGUAGGCUGAAGGAUAUUCUUGGUAUUCUAGAAAGCUGUGCACAUGACCAGGGCCACAUGUAUUCUCAGGAAAGAGUCCAAAAGGCCCUAAGUUCUCACUCUUGGCUAACAUUAAGGUUCUGCACAAGCUGGAAAUGAAGGUUAGGGCAGAGUUCUCAACUGUCUGGUUCAGUGAUAAAGGCAUAUCCCAACAUGCAUACAGAGCCCUUUGCCAAAAAUCUCUUUCUAAUUAUUAACUGACAACUAACCUAACUGAGCAGAGAUUUCCAUGGCCAAAACUGACAAAGAAUACAGACUUUAUGGAAUUCAUCAGAAAAGUCACAAAACAUCAAUAGCAACAAACCUUGAGGAGGAGGAAUUUCCGACUUUCCACAUUAUAUUAUUUGAAAUGUCAAGCUUUGACCAAAAAGUUAUGAUACAUACAAGGAAAUAAGAAAUUUGGUCUAUAACGUGACAAAAAGAAGUCAACAGAAAAUGUCCUUUAGGAAGCUCAGAUAUUGGACUGAUUCAAUAAAGAUUUCUACUCAAAUCAUCUAUUUAAAAUAUGUUCAAA